GAUGAACGCUGGCGGCGUGCCUAAUGCAUGCAAGUCGAGCGAACAGAUGAGGAGCUUGCUCCUCUGACGUUAGCGGCGGACGGGUGAGUAACACGUGGAUAACCUACCUAUAAGACUGGGAUAACUUCGGGAAACCGGAGCUAAUACCGGAUAAUAUAUUGAACCGCAUGGUUCAAUAGUGAAAGACGGUUUUGCUGUCACUUAUAGACGGAUCCGCGCCGCAUUAGCUAGUUGGUAAGGUAACGGCUUACCAAGGCAACGAUGCGUAGCCGACCUGAGAGGGUGAUCGGCCACACUGGAACUGAGACACGGUCCAGACUCCUACGGGAGGCAGCAGUAGGGAAUCUUCCGCAAUGGGCGAAAGCCUGACGGAGCAACGCCGCGUGAGUGAUGAAGGUCUUCGGAUCGUAAAACUCUGUUAUUAGGGAAGAACAAAUGUGUAAGUAACUAUGCACGUCUUGACGGUACCUAAUCAGAAAGCCACGGCUAACUACGUG
rnacentral:rRNA from 1 species